AAUAAUUUAACAGGGUGUUGCUGAUGGUUGUGACCAGAAGUGUUGCUCUAAGCUGCAAUAUACGCGUUUGAUCCAUAUCGCCAAUAAAAGUAUCUGAUAUAUUUUAGCCACGCUCAGUAUUAUUAACGACUACGAUUUUGCCAAUUACGAUGCUCGUUUUUUUCCUGUUUACAACUCAGGGAAACACAACGGUCCAUUCGACAACGUUAUGCGUCGAGUAUGAAGCGACAUAGAGUACGUGCUAUCAUGGAAAAGGUAGAGGAAGAACACGAUGAAGAAAUUAAGCCCAACAACAACG